rnacentral:lncRNA from 1 species
UAGACAUACUUCGUGAUAUAAACAGCACUACACCCUACAAUAAGGGCAUGUUUGGUUCAUGAUUGAAAUAGGAAUGGAAAAUGGAAUGGAAUUGCUUUGGAAUGAAAAAUGGAAUGACGAAUCAUCCAAAAAUAUUUGGUUCAUUAUUAGAAUGAAAAUCGGAAUGAAAAUUUAAAAUUUUUUAGAGAGGAUUUUGAUUAAGAGAGAGGAAAGUGAUUACGGAUGAGGAGGUAGGUGUUGAUGAAAGAGGAUUUUGAAUAGUUUACUUUGGAAUAAACCAAUCCGAAAUUCAAAACAGGAUUGGAUCAUAAAUAGAUUUGGUCAUUCCCAUUCCGGAGUGGAAUGGAAAUUGGAAUCCGAUUCCUAUAAAACAAACGGCAACAAUAGGAAUCAAUGAAUUCCAUUCCGAUUCCAUAGUCUAAAAUAGGUGAACCAAACAUGCCCUAAGAUCAAACG